GACGAACGCUGGCGGCGUGCUUAACACAUGCAAGUCGAACGGAAAGGCCCUGCUUUUGUGGGGUGCUCGUGUGGCGAACGGGUGAGUAACACGUGAGUAACCUGCCCUUGACUUUGGGAUAACUUCAGGAAACUGGGGCUAAUACCGGAUAGGAGCUCCUGCUGCAUGGUGGGGGUUGGAAAGUUUCGGCGGUUGGGGAUGGACUCGCGGCUUAUCAGCUUGUUGGUGGGGUAGUGGCUUACCAAGGCUUUGACGGGUAGCCGGCCUGAGAGGGUGACCGGCCACAUUGGGACUGAGAUACGGCCCAGACUCCUACGGGAGGCAGCAGUGGGGAAUAUUGCACAAUGGGCGGAAGCCUGAUGCAGCAACGCCGCGUGCGGGAUGACGGCCUUCGGGUUGUAAACCGCUUUCGCCUGUGACGAAGCGUGAGUGACGGUAAUGGGUAAAGAAGCACCGGCUAACUACGCG
rnacentral:rRNA from 1 species